GUUCUCUAUCAAAAAGAAGCUACAAGAAAAUUCUAGAGAAAAGAAAGGGGAGAAACUUGAAGCUAGAGAGAGAGGGAGCUCAGAUUUGGGAGAAACAAAGCCCAAAACGUUAUCAAACUGCCUCGAAGUUUCAGCUGCACUAAGGAGGUUUCCGAGGUGCAAUUUUGGCUAGUUUUGGCCAAUUUCGAGUAAGGUUAAGGAGUAUCAAGGCAAUGCCGGAUUCCUAUUAAUCCUGAAAAAGGUACAUGCGCGCGCUUUGGGGAUCCGCCAGCUUAAGAUUCCACUCAGUAAAUUUGGAAGAAGCUCCAUUGAAUAGGAGCCAAGCUUUGGUACUAAACCUUCUAUGUAUAUAUUUAUUUGAUUACGGGUACGGUGGGGGCCUUGUCCCGCAUUAUGUUAUUGUUCUUACUCUUAGAGGUCUGUAGAUAUGUAUGUGGGUUGUAUAUGUAUGCGUGUAAGGUUGUGUCUAUAUGUUAUGAUAGCC